AUUGAACGCUGGCGGAAUGCUUUACACAUGCAAGUCGAACGGUAGAGGGGGCAACCCCUCGAGAGUGGCGAACGGGUGAGUAAUAUAUCGGAACGUGCCCAGUCGUGGGGGAUAACGUAGCGAAAGUUACGCUAAUACCGCAUACGAUCUAAGGAUGAAAGCGGGGGAUCGCAAGACCUCGCGCGAUUGGAGCGGCCGAUAUCAGAUUAGGUAGUUGGUGAGGUAAAGGCUCACCAAGCCGACGAUCUGUAGCUGGUCUGAGAGGACGACCAGCCAAACGGGGACGAAGACACGGCCCAGACUCCUACGGGAGGCAGCAGGGGGGAAUUUUGACAAUGGGCGCAAGCCUGAUCCAGCAAUGCCGCGUGCAGGAUGAAGGCCUUCGGGUUGUAAACUGCUUUUGUACGGAACGAAACGGCGAGCUCUUAUGCAGUUUGCUAAUGACGGUACCGUAAGAAUAAGCACCGGCUAACUACGUGCCAGCCGCCGCAGUAA
rnacentral:rRNA from 1 species